rnacentral:lncRNA from 1 species
CUGGCAUCGAGUGGGCUCCAGUGGGGCUGAGAAGGAGGUAUGGGAAAUUGGAGAGAAAGCAUCUUCGUACAUCCUUGGAGAGGAACUGAUGGAAAGGAGGAAAGCGCUGAAGAGAUGGAGAAAUAGCCUGGUGCCAACUGUGAGGAGUACAGGAAUGCUGAUUUCAAAUACCUGAGUGGGAAUGGAGCUUGCUGGACCCCACGGCCACCCUGUAAGUAGGAGCUGCUGCAGAAGAAAGAAGGAGCAGCAUGUGGAAGUGUGUGAUGUGGGGCCUGAAAGAGAGAACUGGCAGUCUUAUAACAUUAGCUGUUGCUGUGUGGUGUUUCAAGAUAUUCUUGCCUUUUUUUAAUAACUCUUUCCAGCUCUGUACAGCCUUCUACCUUUUUCUUUAUUAAAUGUGUUUUAGUCUCUGUUUGUUAUUUCCC